GUUCCUGUAGUUGAAUACAACGGUGGUUUUUCAAGCCAUUGGUCCUGGUUAGAAUCCUGGUAGGAAUC
rnacentral:tRNA from 1 species